CCCACAGAAAUACCUGCUGCUCAUUUGCUGCCAUGGCAACGGAGCCCAGCCCAGCACCUGUGCAGAUGCUGGCCGUGUCAAGUUACCACCCACCUCAGCCUGGGUACCUUUGGAUAACCAACUGUUAAACUCGAUAUCUCAAGAACUGUGGCUUAAGAUAGCAUAAGUGAACCAUCUGGAAAUAAGGGAUCACUGUAAGCUUUACUCAGCAAACAAAUGCCAGGAGGAACCCAGAAGUAAAAGCAAUAAGAGCACACUCUCAAAGGGAGCAUCACUCGAAGUCUCAGCAAGGCCAGAACAUUGAGUGGGCAGGAGGGUGGUGGAAGGAGGACUGGAGCUCAGCAUCACCGCUUAAGAGGAUCACAACUGACAUGUUCUACAAAGAAACCAUUCAUUUUGCCUAAGUGACAUUUAUGCCAAGAAACUUUUUCUCAGUUAUUUCACAACUUGUUUUUCACUGACAGCUAUCCAGAGAAAAACCAAGUUAAAAACUCUUUAGACUGCUGAGCAAUCAAUAUAGAGGGACAAAGAGACAAAAAUAUUCAUCUACCAAACAAGACAAUAUGGCAUACCCAACGUCUAGAACACUUAAAACAGCUUUGGUUGCAAUUACUCAGACCAAAGGUAAACUACAUUCUCAUUUUACAGCAAAAGAAUAUUCAAAGGACAGAUGUAGCCUUAACAGAAACCAUACCCAACCAUGGUCUGAAACUACUGCUCUCUUAAAGAAAUUACUGUCCAAAGGCUGGACUCACGAAAAAAAGAAAAUGUUGCCAGAAGUUCAAAGAUUUCCCACUAAAAUGGCAGAACAAGAUCAGACACAGAGUCCUUGUUAGGAAGAACAAGGGUAUGAAGUUAACACAGGAGGUGAAUAAAGUCUACAUUCAGAAACAGUAAAAUCGAAGAAUUUAUGAGAGCCGACAAAUUAGACUGUAAUAGGGUUAAGGACCAACUGAUGGCAUCACAGACUUCUUCACAAAUUAUUAAUAGACUUGUUACUUUGCAAGAAAUUAUUAUUAGGGAUACAACUGUCACAGUCAAGUUCGAAGAUAAAGAAACCAAACCUUUGCUUGUACGAAAAGAGAAUUCCUGUCCAUUAACAAUUUAUACUCAAGAAAAAAAUCCUGAGGCAACUUCAAGUUCAAAAACAAGUGAGUAAAUGUCCUGUUUACAGACCGUGUCCGAGUUAAAAAAACAAACAAAACAAAAACAAAACACCAAAAAAACUCUAAAAGACAAAACAAAGGACACUGUAGAUAUUUAAUGAAAUGAACUUGUUCCCAAAAUUGAGAAAUCCUACAGAAUAUUCAGGUAUAUGUUUUAUAUCAAGAUUAUAGAAGAAAGAUCUUUACAUUGAAGAACCUCAAACUACACAGUGAAAUUCUCUAGAACAGGUAGUUAAGGAGAGUUAAUAAUUAAUACUCAUGUUUCUGAAAAAUAACUUUAAUAAAAUGUUUGUAACAGAAGUAGAUAAUAGUGCAUUUCAGGGCUAAGUUUAAGGGAAAAUAAUAAGGAAAGGAAGAAAAAAAAAGAGGAACUGAUGAAGUAUUAAGUAAAAAUCCAUAGGUCAGUUGGAAAAAACGGCUGGGUGAAAUUCCAUUUUUUUUGUUGGCAUUUCUACCUUCAUCUGCAA